rnacentral:rRNA from 1 species
UCGGGAAUUUUGGGCAAUGGGGGAAACCCUGACCCAGCAACGCCGCGUGAAGGAUGAAGUAUUUCGGUAUGUAAACUUCGAAAGAAUAGGAAGAAUAAAUGACGGUACUAUUUAUAAGGUCCGGCUAACUACGUGCCAGCAGCCGCGGUAAUACGUAGGGACCAAGCGUUGUUCGGAUUUACUGGGCGUAAAGGGCGCGUAGGCGGCAUGACAAGUCACUUGUGAAAUCUCUGGGCUUAACCCAGAACGGCCAAGUGAUACUGUCGCGCUAGAGUGCAGAAGGGGCAAUCGGAAUUCUUGGUGUAGCGGUGAAAUGCGUAGAUAUCAAGAGGAACACCUGAGGUGAAGACGGGUUGCUGGGCUGACACUGACGCUGAGGCGCGAAAGCCAGGGGAGCAAACGGGAUUAGAUACCCUCGUAGUCCCUGAG